UACGAAGGGGGCUAGCGUUGUUCGGAAUUACUGGGCGUAAAGCGCGCGCAGGCGGUCUUCCAAGUCAGUGGUGAAAGCCCGGAGCUCAACUCCGGAACUGCCAUUGAAACUGUUAGACUUGAGGAUGAGAGAGGUGAGUGGAAUUCCCAGUGUAGAGGUGAAAUUCGUAGAUAUUGGGAAGAACACCAGUGGCGAAGGCGGCUCACUGGCUCAUUUCUGACGCUCAGGCGCGACAGCGUGGGGAUCGAAACAGG
rnacentral:rRNA from 1 species